rnacentral:rRNA from 1 species
AGAGUUUGAUCCUGGCUCAGAACGAACGCUGGCGGCAGGCUUAACACAUGCAAGUCGAGCGCCCAGCAAUGGGAGCGGCGGACGGGUGAGUAACACGUGGGAACAUGCCCUUCGGUACGGGACAACUCAGGGAAACUUGAGCUAAUACCGCAUACGCCCUAACGGGGAAAGAUUUAUCGCCGAAGGAUUGGCCCGCGUCUGAUUAGCUAGUUGGUGAGGUAACGGCUCACCAAGGCUUCGAUCAGUAGCUGGUUUGAGAGAGCGACCAGCCACACUGGGACUGAGACACGGCCCAGACUCCUACGGGAGGCAGCAGUGGGGAAUCUUGGACAAUGGGGGAAACCCUGAUCCAGCCUUGCCGCGUGAGUGAUGAAGGCCCUAGGGUUGUAAAAACUCUUCGGC